GCCGUGUUUCGAGUUACUCCGGAACACAGUGUUUAUUCUGUGUUUAGUCACGCCGCGUCAAAAAUGUUCCACAGGGUUACUUCCGGUUUAUCGCUGUUUACCAACAGUCGACACUUCGUGUAUUAGGCCUAGGGUUAAUUUUGUCGAUCAUCAUGAAAUUGAAAUACACAUUUAAUAGUUUGGGGUGUAUGCGGUACAUAUUUGUUUAUGAGCGUUUGAUAAGCUACUAUUGAUCUACGAAAUACAACGAAAGACUUCGUCAAGAACAGAAGAAGACGAUGCAUGUCGUGUAACUCACACAAGGCCCAGCUGUCUAGUAACCGGAGGGGUAAAGGAAAAGAACGUAUUAGACUCACUGAAACCUGUCAAACAGGUAUAUGGGAACAGGAUCAUUUUCCAUGCCUUUCACUUGAGGUCUUCAGUUUCAUCAUUAAUCAUCUGAAUGUCGGUAUGCCAAACUCUCAUGAUGUCAUGCCAUUACUGGAUAUUCCUUAACAGUGGUUUAUUUAAGCCACACUACCUAUAACAUUGCCAAAAUAUUAGACUGAAAAUUUUCAAAUACACAAGAUUUGAAGCAGCAAAAGAAAAGAAUUACAUAUGUAUAACACACAAAAAAGAAGAAAUUAAUUCUCACCUGGCUGAUAUGAACUUUUUACUCCUUUUUAGCUCCCUUUCACUGCAUACCAGCCAAUAACUAGCAGUCAUUAUAUGCAGAUCAGCCAUUGUUAUCAACCUGUGUAUAUAUAUGUUGAAUGAAAUAUGAAUGAAAA